UGGGUCAUUGUCACGAGGAAAGUCACCGUAUGAGCCUUCGGAAGUUGCCAAAUUUCUUAAAUAAAACACGAAUUUCCUGAAAAAUUCGUGAAUAUUUUCCUCCACACCCGUUUGAAUCAUUUUGAUCAUGAUUUACUUUAAAGUGUGUGAAAAUUUCAAGGAGAAAUAUUCACAACUUUCGUCUAAAAUUGCUAUUUUACCGGGUGAAAUUAGGCAACGCUGGAGUGAUUAUACGACGUUCUUCCUGAGCGCGAUAGGUCGGCUGCCGGAUUUCAGUUGGAUUCUGCACGAUUUGGCGACAGGGCCGCGUUUGGAACCAACUUGGCGGACUUCCCUCAUAUUUGCACCACGGAAGAAUAUUCGCGUAUAAAAGCGUUUGUGGCUUACCUAAUCGAUACAGUUUAUUCAUAUCGUUUACUCGACAGUGAUCUUCUUCUAAUUUUUUGCAUCUUCACGCUACGAUGGAUUUCACACUCUUGAGAUCUCUGCUCCUGAUGUUAGUCGCUCUGAUCGCGUUCGCUGUCGCUGCUCCGGAACCAGGCUACGGAGGCGGCGGAGGUCACCACCACGGAGGAGGCGGAGGUCACCACCACGGUGGAGGCGGAGGUCACCAUCACGGUGGAGGAGGAAGCCACCAUCACGGUGGAGGUGGAGGUCACGGAGGUCACUACGGAGGUCACUACGGAGGUGGCGGCGGAGGUCACCACCAUGGGGGUCAUCACCACGGUUGAAAAAUCCCUCGAAAGCCCUCACCAUUCCUACAUGGGCCUCGCCUCGCAUUGUUGAACAAAAGUUACCACUAAUUCAAUUAUUAAUUUAUUUGUUUAAGUAAAUAGGCUAUUUAUUUAUCUCUGGAUAAAAAGCGACGAACAAAGCAAAAAAACUAGAGCUGAUCCCGCACUCAUGAUUUUGAUGUAUUGUUCCUUCAACAAAGGAUCAUAAGCUUAAAAAUUGAUCUAUCGUAAUGUGAUGAUUGAUGAAAUUUACCAGAAAUGGAUACGUUUUUCGAUCUCAAGGAGCUUCAAAAGCUCUAUCAAUUAUUCAAUAAAAAUUUUCUUCGUUCUCUUUUGUAAAUAUGCCUUUGUAAAAUGUGUAAAAAGAAUUUAAAAAAACUUGUAAAUACUCGCGAUGUGUAAAUAAAAAAUUUAAAAUUGAAAAUAAAAUUGUGACCUCUUUCAUCAUGGUAGCAUGCAUUCCUGAUUCAAUAAGUGAAGUCAUUUCUUCCUAGCGGAUGUUUACGUCGGGAAAAACACGGAGGAAAAAAUUGCUGAUUCAACAAUUCAAUUGCUAAAAACAGUGAGUGCAAUGUUUCAACGCAGAUUUUACAACGAAAAAAUGCUACUUUAACCACCCCCGUGGUUAAAUUAGUUUACAAUGUGGUUAGAGUAGCAUUUAUUUGUUGUAAAAUCUGCGUUGAAACAUUGCACUCACUGUUUUUAGCAAUUGAAUUGUUGAAUCAGCAAUUUUUUUUCCGAGAAGUUAUCACCAAGUCAUAACUUGCGUGUUGUGGCCAAUGUUAUUUUAUUGUUGGUGUUUUAUGUCCAAACUGCUGAUGCGGAAAAACGUAACUUUAGCAUUCCCAGUGUUAUGCCGACAUGAUGAAAUUAAAUCAACUAUCAAGAUACCGAAAGUUCAAGUCAAGAGUGCCUGCAUUCACUGCGACAUUUCAAAAUUGUAGGACGUAUUUGCCUUUUAAAUGUAAAAGUAUAAUAACAUUUACUUGAAAAUGAAAAAAUGUUGAAUAGUUUGCUUCAUAAAGAAAAACAAACAAAACGACAGAAAAUACUCGCAACGUUGCAAUCUAAAAUAAGCAUGUUUUUCGCUGAGAGCCUCGAUAAUCUGUUAUACAAUAAAAAAAACCUCAGAUAAUAUAAAGAAAGAAACAAAUAUCAAACUAUCUCUUGAUACUAUAUUUAUUCGCUGACUUCCAUUUCAGUUGUGAUUUUAUCAUCAGCUGUGAUUUAGCUUGUGGAAACCUUUCUUGGGAAAUUUUUGAGAAAAGUUACUAGAGGUAAAGUUUGGUUUUGUCUCGAAUGAUAAUUUACGCAUUAUCAAGUGUGUAAUACACGCAUUUUACCACCAUGGCGCAAAUCAGAAACAAGGUUCUGUGUUUGUUUACAUUUCUACCAGGGGUUCGAUAUUACAUCAAAAGUGACGUAACCACUGAAUCAGUCUAUAAAUCGACCAAAUCCACUAGCGAAGAUUCGCCUUAAGGGGUGGGUGAGAGCGAGAGAAAGAAUUAUUUUUGUUUCGAGCCCAAUGUCACGCGGUCAUAGAGAGCAAAAGUAGCAUGACGCAAGCACGAUUAUAAGAUCAAUUCAAUUCAUUGAUCAGCGCAUGAGUGUGCGUGCAAUUGCACGCACACUGCUUCACGUGUACGCUAUCAGACCGCUCCCUGGACCGUGUCACACACGGUCAACAGCCGCAGGAGAACUGCCGUGCUAAGGAAGAGCGCCGUAUCAACAUUCGAGGGUUGCCAAAUUUCCUACGAUAAAAAUAACAUUUUGAGGAUAUUUGCGAAUAUUUUCUCCUGGAUUUGCAGAUGAUUUAGAUCUGGCUGCGAAUAGAAUUAUCUGUAAACACUGGUAAAAAAAACACAUUUGAUCUAGAGUCUAGACUCUUGAAAGCAUCGACAAGAAAAAGGACUCUUG
rnacentral:lncRNA from 1 species